rnacentral:tRNA from 1 species
AGGGGUAUAGCUCAGCUAGGUAGAGCAGCGGUCUCCAAAACCGCGUGCCGAGGGUUCAAUUCCUUCUGCCCCUGCCA